AUUUUUGAGGUUAUGGAAGUGUUUGGUAGUUGGUUUCUUAUAGGCGACGUUGGUAGGCUAGUUUCUCCUUCAUUUUCAGUACUUUAGUUCCUGCCAUUAUUAAGUGAGAAGAUGUCACUAAUGGUAGUCACAGAAGUAAGUUUCAUAUGCUUAUAAGUUUACAAUCUGUGGAGUGGUAUUUCAGGCAGCAUUUGGUUCGGCAGUGUCGUGUAGUGUUCGUUGACGGUCAUGUACCUCAGAGGAAUUGUCGGCAGAUGAAAGGAGAGGUCGUCAGGGUGCGCACAUAAUGAUCAUCGAAUAUCCCUCGUGCUCCAGGCGGUGGCGGGAUGUGUUCGCUGUUUCUCUGACGUUGGCGUCCCUGCGUACGAGAAAAUGGCGCAGCUCUUGUGCUGGUAUUGUUUCCUUCGGACGGUGUGAUGGUAGGAUGCAUGCUCAGUCGAGUGCAGCUUCACUCUCUUAUAUUGCCAGAGCGUGCAAGUUUAUUUGAACUGAUGUUUGUCAUCUUUCUCCUGUGUGAAUAACUUGUAUGUGGAAAGGAUGCGGCCUUCAGACCAACUAGGGAGAAUAUGGCUGCACUGAACCAAUUACACCAGAGGUUAAAACAACAACUGGAAGAUAAAAAAGCUGAAGUCGCUGAGUUGCGUGGAAAACUCACGCAACUUUGGGACCGUCUCCCUGAAGAAUACAGGCACAGAGAAAACUUCCUCUCUACUCAUGGAGACCACUCUUCUGCUACUUUGAAAGCUUUCAAGGAUGAAGUAAAGAGAUGCGAAGUACUGAAACGCCAGAACAUCAAACGCUUCGUCGAGAAGAUUCGAGAAGAGCUCAAACACUGGUUUGAUUAGCGAAGAAGAGCGCGCGCAGUUUCGACCAUAUUCUUGCGAGUGUUUCACUGAAGAUCUCUUGGAACUACAUGAACUUGAAGUCCAGAAGUUUCAGGCUCACUAUGAGCAAAGUAAUGAGAUUUUUCAAUUGGCUUACCAGCGCCAGAAACUUUGGGACAAAAUGUUAGAUUUAGAAAAUAGAGAAAAUGACCCGAACCGGCUAUUCCAUAACCGUGGAGGCCUGCUGCUAGUUGAAGAGAAAGAAAGGAAGGCAAUCAAAAAGGAUUUGCCGAAGGUUGAAAAGGAGCUUAUGAAGUAUGUCAGCCUUUACGAGGAACAACACAAGAAACCUUUCAAGAUACAUGGCCAACCAGUCUCAGAUGUAAUUAAUAGUCAGUGGACAUUGCAUAAAGAGCAUAAAGAACAGGAAAAGACAGUUAAGAAAUUUGCAAGAGAUGCUGUUUGAUAUUGAAUCCAAAAAUGGGAUCUCAAUUAAGAGCUCCUAAACGUAAGAAUGCACCAGGAACUCCUCCUCUCGGUUCACAUAAAUUACGGAAGGUGGCCAGAAUUGAAAGGACUGCUACCUUAGGGACCAUCGCUUGUCCUAUUCAGCAAACUGUGGUUCCUAGGAUUAUUUUUGCUCGAGUAGGAACAAAUAAUGAUACAGAAGCUUCGAAUAUGACGACGUAUACAGACUUCCAGAAUAAUCUACUGCCAACUUCUGAUGGUGCCACUGCUUGUACUUCUGAUGCUCUUGCAUGUGGAACAUCUGGAAGUGUUAAAGCAACAAGAGACAUGCAGAAGCUCCAUGGUCGCAGGUCACUGCCUCCGUGAGCGUAACACCCCUGCUAGAACCCUGUCUAAAAUACCUUCAAAGAUUUUACUGCCACGUAGCACGAAGAAGAUGUCACAGGCACGAGUAACACUCCUGAAACCUCUGUGGAAAAAUGUUGCAGCUCAGGGGUCUUCAUCAAGACUGCAAACUUCCUGGGGCACACCGAAAACCCCAAUGAAUCAAAGAGGCACAGCAGUAACGUGCCAUUUAACGACUCGUAGAUGACAGCUCCCGAUAAUUAUGUGAUUUGUGGUGUGAAUGUCUUGUACAAAUAGUUCCCUGUUAAUAUAUUGUAUAUUUGUUGCUUCCUCUUUAGGGUAACUUGCUAAGACUACGGAAAUACUGUCUGUGAAAUUGAGUAGAUGUCAUUUGAAAUUAGUUGUGUUCUGUGGUGGUAUGAUGUUUGUCGGUAUAGGAAUAUUUUAUG